rnacentral:rRNA from 1 species
CCUACGGGAGGCAGCAGUGGGGAAUAUUGGGCAAUGGGCGCAAGCCUGACCCAGCAACGCCGCGUGAGGGAUGAAGGUCCUCGGAUUGUAAACCUCUUUCAGCAGGGACGAAGCGAAAGUGACGGUACCUGCAGAAGAAGCACCGGCUAACUACGUGCCAGCAGCCGCGGUAAUACGUAGGGUGCAAGCGUUGUCCGGAUUUAUUGGGCGUAAAGAGCUCGUAGGCGGUUCAACACGUCGGAUGUGAAAACACGGUGCUUAACACCGUGCCUGCAUUCGAUACGGUCGAACUAGAGGAUGGCAGGGGAAACUGGAAUUCCUGGUGUAGCGGUGGAAUGCGCAGAUAUCAGGAGGAACACCGGUGGCGAAGGCGGGUUUCUGGGCCAUUACUGACGCUGAGGAGCGAAAGCGUGGGGAGCAAACAGGAUUAGAUACCCUGGUAGUCCACGCCGUAAACGGUGGGCGCUAGGUGUGGGGCACAUUCCACGUGCUCUGUGCCGCAGCAAACGCAUUAAGUGCCCCGCCUGGGGAGUACGAUCGCAAGAUUAAAACUCAAAGGAAUUGACGG